CUUCAACUGACACAACGGUCUCGAUGGUAGGAACAAGCAAAAGCUCCUUUAAAUUUCGUCAUUUUUUAUACACAUCCUGUUUAUUUUGUAGUUAAUUGUUAGAUAAGUUAGUAAUUUCGUCAAGUUUUCGUUACAAGGGGUUUCUGUUCCUGCAGUCUUUCAGCGGUGCUGGCGCGUAUGACGAUGCGGACAUGAACAGCACACUACAGUAUACCGCCACCUACUGUACUGUAGUACAAUAACGUCCUUUAAACAUCUAAACAUGUCCUCCAAAAAGGUUUCCUGUGCUGUUUUGCUCCAUUUUACUGAACAAAAUAAGGCUGAGGUAGCACCAUCCUUGUGGUUAGAGUGAAAGAACGUGUGUAUUGAGACCAAAAUAAACAAUGUGCCAUUCUGGACAAACAGCUGUGGACAAUAUAUGCAGUCAGAGUAGCCUAUUUUCUCACACAGACCUGAAGAUAAGAUUUCCAGUUUAAAAGUGAAGAAAAUGAAUCAUUAUUAACAGCAAUUAGGAGUAUUUCUCAGCUGAAAAGCCAGAUUUUUUCCUUGUAUUUUUUUUGUUAAAUGAGGAGCAACCAGUAAGAAAAAACAAAAAGAUAUUUUGAUGUUUGCUUGAGGCACCUUAUUUUUAUGCACAAUCACAAAUGCAGCACAUCAAUCAAUUUCUUCCAACCAGCGAAUCAAGAAAUCUUGGAGUGGAGAAUCAUUCUGAAAGUAGACCAAAUCCAGGACAACAUCACAGCAGUGGUCGGAAAAAUGCAGCAAGCCAAGCUGACUUUCAAAAGAUGAUUCGUUAUCUGUUUCUUCAGAGGGGAGGCAGUUUGGGAGAUGGGAAUUAGAAGGAUGCUACAGUUACACAGGGCGAAUUUCAGCAGCUCAGUUUCAAACUUGCAACUAACAAUGAAUUAUAUUAGAAGACCACGGAAAUAUUUGACAUCGGAGUCCAGCAGACAGCCAGAGACACGCACACACACGCAGCUGAAGCGCGUGACGCGUACGGGAGAUCCGGCACGCGCACGGGAGCUUGCGCACGCUCACACAAACACGGAGCACAGGAUAAUUACAACUGUUUAAUUAAAAAUAAAAGAACUUUGUUGUAUACAA